rnacentral:lncRNA from 10 species
GCUCUUCCGCCAUGAUUGUGAGGUCUCUCCAGCCACGUGGAACUGUUUCAUCAGCUUUUCAUGUUUCACUGGGGAGUGCAUCCUGAGAGGUCGUCACACUAUCAUCUUGGAAGUGAAUCUCUUACAUUUCAGUUUUAAAGGCUGUCUGGCAAGCGCCGCGCGCAUCCUCGGUUCCCGCCGCGCCGUUGCCGCCGCUCCUCUCCCUCCUCACCUCCCCGCAAGCUGAGGGAGCCGGCUCUGGCCUUGGCCAGCCCAGAAAGGGGCUCCCACAGUGCAGCGGUGAGCUGAAGGGUUCCUCAAGCGCGGCCAGAGUGGGCGCCAAGGCCGAGGAGGCGCCCAGAGCCAGCGAGGGCUGCCAGCAAGCUGUCACCUCUCAAUAGGAACUGGUACCAACCUACUUACGAAGAAGUAUUUGUUUUAACCUGAACCUGGGGAUUUGGAGAGAAGGAGAAGAAAUAUGACAAAGAGUAGCAGACAUUUAAAGAAAAGGGAAAAACAACAUGAACUGUUCGUCUAUCUAUAUCGUCAUUAUUUUUUACCUCAUGGAUUGAAACAAAUUUUAAAGGAAAAAAGAAUGUUAAGAAAGAGCAGCACUUACUAUCAGGGAGGCACCUCACGAGCAUUGUAAACACUCAGGAUCUUCCAGGUGCGUUUUUAUAAUGACACUCUAUCAAGCCACUGAGAUCAACUGCCAGAGCUCAAUCUGCUACAGGAAUCUUGCUAGAAGAGAAGAAUGUUUCAUCAGAGACAGUCAUUCAUCCUGGCCCACACCUCUCCUGCUCUGAUCUUCCACUGUUAAAAGCAUAACACACUGGAGGAAGAUUGUGCUAUAUUUCAUGCAUGCUCUGCGCCACCACCAAGGGACAGUCCCAUCUGUUAUUUGCUCUCAGCUUUGCUUACUGAUAAAACAGGAAGGACAGCUUGCUGAUGGGCUCUUUGAAGCAAAUGGAUCCUCUCUUUCCUGGAAUUAAUGUUUAUAAAUUAUUUCUACAGUAGACAGCAUGUAUGGUACCAUGAUUUCAAAAUUAGUUUCAAUAAAUUAAGGGCCUGCAUUCAUUACAAGAGGAGCUUGAUUACAAUGCAACUCAUGGAGUUUACUGUUGUGCUCUACCUUUUGUGAAAAUUGCUGCAUGAAAUUAAACACUCUCAUUAAUUCUGUUGAUUAUCUCGCUGCUUUCUGAAGGACAUGCCAAUCAUGCACAGCACUUACUAGAAACUGCAAGACUGCACAACAUGAUGGUAUUUAUUCCAGGAACAGGAGCCAGUCCUGGGCACACACAUAAAGGGACUUCCUUCACUCCCCAGAAGAAGAGAAAGCAUGCUGACACACAUCUGCCCAAGCAAUCAGAAGGCAGCUAAAGCCGCCACAGUCUUCACUCACCAACAGUUAGACCUUUUCAAUUGAUUUUAUUGAAGAAAGUGAGUGCUGAGCACCAUGAGUUCUCAUAAACAAUCCAUUUUGGCAAAUGCUUUAAGAAUGUUGGUUAAUUGCAGUUAGGCAGCAUCGACGUAUUUUAUUUUUUGGAAAGCAAGAAGCUGGCUUACCAACAUUAAGUUAAACAACAUGUAAGGGUUAGAAAUAUGAAUCAACAAACUAUUAGGGUGGUACCAUCUCUUUAUAAUAAAACAAUGUAGAUUGAUUAAGUAUAGCCUAAAAGUUUACCACAAAUCAUAACUACAUUUAAGCUUUGAAUUUCAUGACUAGUGAUUAAUUUUGCAUGUCAACUUGACUGAGCUUAUAGAAUGCCCAGGUAUCUGAUUAAACGUUAUUUCUGGAGGUGUCUGUGAGGGUGUUUCUGUAAGAGAUUAGCAUCUGAAGGCCAGGUGUGGUGGCUCAUGCCUGUAAUCCUAGUACUUUGGGAGGCCGAGGUGGGCAGAUUGCCUGAGCUCAGGAGUCUGAGACCAGCCUGGGCAACAUGGCAAAACACCGUCUGUACUAAAAAAUACAAAGUUUAGCCGGAUGUGGUGGCACACACCUGUAGUCCCAGCUACUAGGGAGGCUAAGGCAUGAGAAUUUCCUGAGCCUGCGAGGCGGAGGUUGUGGUAAGCCAAGAUUGUACUCCAGCCUGGGUGAUAAAGUGAGACCCUAUCUCAUAAAAAACAAAAAAACAAAAAAGAAAAAAGGAGAAGAAAGAGACACAGAUUAGCAUUUGAAUGGGUGGACUGAGUAAAGCAGAUGGCCCUCGUCAGUGUUGGUGGGAAUUGUCCUAUCCAUUGAGGGCUUAAAUGAAACAAAGACUGAGGAAGGCUGAAUUCAAUCUCUGCUGACUGCUGGGGCUGAGACAUCAAUCUUCUCCGGCUCUCAGUGCUCUUCCAGACUCAGACUGGAAUGUACACUAUCAGCUCUCCAGUUCUCAGGCCUUCAAAUUACACCUCUGGCUUUCCUGGGUCUCCAGCUUGCAGAUGGCAGAUCGUGGGACUUCAUGGGACUUCUCAGACUCCAUAACCAAGAAGUCAUAGAAGGAACAGCCCACCACAGAGAGAGAAGGCUCCAUUACCCUGAGUUCUACAGGGAAAGCAACAAGGAGUAGAGCCAGAGCUAAUAAGCAAGCCAUUUUACUUACUUUGGACUCAUUUUCUUAAUCCAAAAAUGGAAGUAAGGCUUGUCAUCUGUCUUAUUCAUAGUCACAGGCACACCUGGAUGAUAUCAAAUUAUUCUUUUAAGGAAAUCAAUAUAUCACGAAAAAUGCAUAGAAGAACAUCUGGCAAUAACAUUUCAGGAACUCAUACUACAUCUUCAGGAAAGCCUUUGCCAACAUCCCGCUGAGGAGCUACAGUCUAAAUGCAUACGCAUGUUGGGAACCGAAGUCAGCCAUCUUCCCUAGGACAAAUCUUUACUCUUCUAAAGAAGGACAAGAAUAAGGUCUACUUUCAGCUAACCAUUUAUAAGGUUCAGUUUUCAUUGGAUCAAAGGAAUAUAAUCUAAUACUUUUUAAAUGGGGUCAAAACAGUAUUAUAAGGAAAAUAUUUACUGCAAAUAUUUAUAAUUGUGUAAGGAGAAUCAUUCUUUUUAAAAUCAAGUUGUGUUUUAGCUUUAGAAUCUUUUAAAAUCACAAGUAUUUGAGAAUCCAUCCCCACAAAAAUUAAAAAAUACUAUAUUAGUUAUUUUAAACAGUAUUCAUUACUUUUACUGUUUAUGUUAUAAUAAACUUAUGUAUAUAAACAUUUGAAUAUGCAUGGUACAAAGUACAAGUACAGAACAUGUAGUAAGUAGUAUGUGCAUGUAUGUGUGUGUGUGCAUAUCGUAUAAAAAUAUGAGAAAAAUUUUACUUAUAUAAAAACAUAUAUAUAAAUAAGUGUUCAGGAGAGUUUUUGAGAAUCUGCUUUACAUACUGCAAUUUUGAGUGAAAAUUAUGGAUAUUAAUUUCCUGAUUAAAGGAACUGUGUCUUCUCAUGAUGAGUCCUAAAAAUAAGCCAAAAUACUACUUAAUCUCCAUCACUUUUUUUCUUAAUAUUGAAAACACUUUUCACAGUAUAGACAUCUAUAGUGUGUAAAACCAUCUUUACAAAACCCAUAUAUACAGAAAAAUCUCAGUCUUCAAUUUGAAGGUUCUUUGCCGUGCUAACAUAUGUUGUAGAGAAUGACCACAUAGUAAUUGUCUAGUCUUUUCUCCUAACCCCAAUAGGAUUUGAAUGACUUUCAUCGUAAUGAAGGCUUCUGCAGAGUAAUUGAUUUUGACCAUGAGUACCUGUUGAAGUCACAGCAACUUCUCCUUCUAGAUUAUCUUACAGCAGUGGACCAGACAGCAGUGCUCAAGAGAGGCAAGUAUGUCUUUAAGGAAGCUUCCUGCUUGCCGGGGAAAGCUGCAGAGUAUGUGGCAUUCAACUGUCAUGUCUACAUCCAUGUUGAAAAAGUCUUUCGGCUUUAAGGAUAAUCAACCCGCGGUACUCUUUCUUUAAAUAAAGGUGUGUUAAUGAGUCUGCAUAAUGCUAUCAAACAAAAAGUGGUUCAAUACUGGCAUCCUGUGGCUGGAGAGAUUUAUCAAAUCUCUGAAAAUCUCAGCUCCUUGGAUUCUGAACAUUCCCUGGCUGUCAGUUCUCAGCAGCCUUUCACCAUUUUCCGAGUGCUAUUUGGUUACCUCUCAUUUUUCAUGGAAACAACCUAGGUAAAAUGCAUUUUGAUAGACUAUCAUUUUCACAGGGCUGAUCUACUCAUGCAUUAUCAGGGUAAAAAUAAAUGAUAAUAUAAAGGUUUUGGAAUUUUACCUAAUGAAAGAACAUGAUAUUAAAUCAUUGAACAAACUGCUCCAAGCAAAGGCUCUUGGUCUCUAAGUUCACAUUGAGUUUCUCUCUAACAAAAUGAUCAUAGAGUAGUUGGGAGAAGGGACAGGGCGCUGCUUCAGGAUUUUGUUGUUUGUGCGUCUGUGUGUGAGUGUUUUGUUUUGGCCAAAGGCUAAGAAAAUACUUCCUAUUGCAGCAAUAAAUAUUAUGAAUUUUCUUUAUUUUACUACAAGAAUGCUGCCUCAGAGAAAAAUCAAACAAAAUUACGGAGGACUGUUGCUUUUUGCUACUCACUUUCAAGGCAGCUAUAAAGAUAAAGAGUUACAAUGAUCGCAGUUUAAAAGCAGAAUUGCCAUGCUCCCUGGUAAGACUUAAUGGCAUUUUUGAGAACCAAAUAACCAUUAUGGGACUACUCCAUUGCUGCUAGUUUCACAAAUGGCUAACACUAAAUUUGGAGGCCUUGGAAAUGUUCAAAACAUCAUUAGAGAUAGAAAAAUAGCAACAAACUUUAAAAUUACAUGAACACCAAAAGACAUCAAUGAAGGAUCAAGCAUGAAAACCGCUUGUUGAGAUGAACUGACAAAGAAAUAAUACAAAGUACACACGUGCUUGUUAGCAAGAGGAAAGAACUAUUAGAGUUGGCUGACUCCAAACAGGAGGAACAAAAUGCCUGCUAAAGUGGGAUCGAACAAUGGCUUUGCUCUUUCAUCAUGCUCCCUUUCUUCUAGUCUAACUCUAGGACCACCAGCUCUUUCUUCCUCAAUUCUCUUAAUUUUCUGUGCUGCUCAGGGGUUUUAACUGUCUUGGUUAGUAUGGGAGACAGACAGAUUUCACAGCGAUGAGUGCUAAUCUAUCCUAAAUGUUAGCAAUGAAUAAAGCAACCCUAAUGGUAAAUGGUAUUUAAUAAGAUCCCUUUUCCCUCAGAACAGGCUCUAUAUUUAGUGUCUAGAACACAGAAAACUUAAAAAUAUUCCACAGAAAGCUAGUGUGAUCUGAGAAGAAAUAGAGAUUAAAUACUCAGUUAAGGCAAUCAGUGUGCCUGUGUCAGCCAUAAAGCACCUCAUUUGUAUAGUAACAUUUCUUUGGGGAAACAAAAUCCAGAUAUAAAUAUUAGUAUAAGAUCUAAAGAUGCAAAAUUCCAAUUGAAUGCUAAUAAAAGGUAUUAAUAAAACUCUGCUUUAAAGGACUGACUUCUCAAUGAGUCUGCACAGCACACUAGAGAUUCAAUAUGCAUAUCAAGGUUUUUGGUUGUUUGUUUUUUUAGUAACACUGGCAUUAUUUAUUAAUAAUUUAACCAGAAAUCUCCCCAAACUUUUAACUGGAAUUUAAAAAAUUAAUUAUGGUAAAGUAAGUAAAUUAAAACAAAGAAAAAGUAUGAAAGCUAUGUUCUAAACUCACCACAUUCACCAGCGAGAAUAGAUCUGCCCUUCUGGCUAUAUUUGUUACCUACCUAUCUCUCUCUCUCUCUCUGUCUCUCUCUCUCCCUCUCUCUCUCUGUCUCUCUCUUUCCCUCUCUCUCUCUCUCUCUCCGCCCCCCCCACUUCCACAAGGGAUCCAGUCUAGAAAGAGCAUGAACUUAGAAGUCCAGCAGAUGUGGGUUCAAUUCCUAGUUCUAUGGUUUAAAAUACAUACACUCAAAAAUAAAUUCUCCAUUUUCCUGAGCUCUGGUGUUCUCAUCUGGACUUGGGAAUAAUAGCACCUCACACAUCAACCUUGUUGAGGAUUGCUUGAGAUGAUCAUGUAGGGGAGAGGACUCAGGAGAGCCUCUGACAGAGAGAUAUGCUUUCAACACAGGCUAUUCAUAAGCACCCUUCCUACCUAGUCAUCUACUAUGUUUUCUCCUCCCCCAGUUUAACUGGUCACCAAGUCUUGCUGAUUUUUCCUUUUAGUAUGUUUCACUUUCUCUCAGACCCUGCUGAUACUGCCUGUCUUCAGAAUCCCCCUCAAUUCUCAUCAGGAUUGCUGCAGUAACCACCAAAGUCAAUAUUCUGUCUUCAGCCCCAACCUAUCUUAAUCCAUCCUCAUAACCCCCAGGGUGAUUCUCCUAAAAUAUAAAACUGCCUGAGUUUGACUUUCAGCUAUUCUACUUUAUAUCUGUAUGACUUGGAACAAGUGACCUGAAUUCUCUCAUGCUAUAAUUCAAAGCCUAUUAACUGGGGAUAAUAAUUUUCCUACCUCAGUAGGAUAUUAUAUGAAUUAAAUAAAGUCUUGUUCCUCUCCCUAGAAAAAGACUCUCUGUUCCUUGCAAGCAUAUGCUUAAGGUGAAGAACUCCAUAAAAGAAGAGAAGACAGAGAGACCUGUAGGGAGAUGUAAGAAAUGAACAGACAAAGAUUAAAAGACUGCAGGGUUGAAGGAAGCUCAUGGAAAAAUGUGCAGAGAUGCAUAAAGGAAGGAGAAAAGUGCAGCAAAGCCACAUAGAAAAAUGGCCAGAAGGGUCACUCUUAGCCACCACCACACAGAGAAAUGAACUAAAAUGAAAACUCACAACUCAGGAAUAUGGAAUAAUAAGCAAUCAGAAACAUAAAUAUAAGCAGUUUUAUCUAUUCAUUAUUUUUAUUCUACU